UGGGGAAUAUUGCACAAUGGGCGAAAGCCUGAUGCAGCGACGCCGCGUGAGGGAUGACGGCCUUCGGGUUGUAAACCUCUUUCAGCAGGGACGAAGCGCAAGUGACGGUACCUGCAGAAGAAGCACCGGCUAACUACGUGCCAGCAGCCGCGGUAAUACGUAGGGUGCAAGCGUUGUCCGGAAUUACUGGGCGUAAAGAGUUCGUAGGCGGUUUGUCGCGUCGUUUGUGAAAACCAGCAGCUCAACUGCUGGCUUGCAGGCGAUACGGGCAGACUUGAGUACUGCAGGGGAGACUGGAAUUCCUGGUGUAGCGGUGAAAUGCGCAGAUAUCAGGAGGAACACCGGUGGCGAAGGCGGGUCUCUGGGCAGUAACUGACGCUGAGGAACGAAAGCGUGGGUAGUGAACAGG
rnacentral:rRNA from 1 species